GACUCAGGGCUGCGGCCGGGGUCCUGCGGGGUAGGAGCGCGAGGCCGGCCUGAGGGAGGAGGCCUAGCGACCCAUCCGGCGCCUCCCGCCCCGGGCACCCGCCCGCGGCCGCGCAUCCUGCGGGCCCCAGGAGGCCUCCAUCUCAAAACAACGUGUUUUUAGGAUCUCAUCCACUAUCACAGUUUCAGCUUUCCCCAAACUGGAAUGUGUCUUUGCAGACGCCCAUCCUUAUUAAAGGGCAAAGACUUCUCAUACACCUAGGAUGGAUCUUAUAUUCUUGGCGGGACUGCAGAGAAGGUGCCGUGUCCUGAGUCCUCAUGUCAGGGCACAGGCUUCCAGCCAGUUCUACCUGGGUUAUGUUUAUCUCAAUUCCCUGGUGGUAUUGGUGUCUGCUGGGUUUUGCCAGAAUGAAGACACCGUGUUUUCAUUUGUCAGUUGAUUCGUAUUUUCCAGGAAGACAUUCUGAGAUUACAGCAUUGUCUUAGUCAAGGUGCUGCAGAAGGACAGAACUAAUAGGAUAUAUGUACAUAUGAAAGAAAGUUUAUGAAGAACUGGCUCACACCAUCACAAGGCAAAGUCCCAUGACAGGCCAUCUGCAAGCUGAGGAGCGAGGAAGCCAGCAGUGGCUCAGCCGGAGUCCAACAGCCUCAAACGGAAUCCAACAGUUCAGGCUUCAGUCUGUGGCCAAAUGCCCAGAGACCCCGGAAAGCUACUGGUGUUAGUCCCAGAGCCGGAAGGCCAAAGAACCUGGAGUGUGAUGUCCAAGGGCAGGAGGAAUGGACAGAAGCAUCCAGCAUGGGGUAAAGACGAAAGCCAGAAGACUCAGCAAGCUAGCUUACCUACUUUCUUCUGCCUGCCUUGUUCUAGCCGCGCUGGCAGCCGGUUGGAGGGUGCCCACCCCCACUGAGGGUGGAUCUUCCUCUCCUAGUCCACUGACUCAAAUUUCAGUCUCUCUGGGAGCACCAUCACACCAGAAACAAUACCAGCCAUCUAGCCACCCUUCAGUUCACCAUCACAACCAUUGUCUUAUUCAUGAAACUUCUGCAGACCCACCUUAACCUCCAUCGGUGACUUCUACCUGAAGCCCUCUGAUUGUUGCCCAGUGGUGCUUUUUAAAAUAAUUUCCAUAGUUUCUUC
rnacentral:lncRNA from 1 species